rnacentral:rRNA from 1 species
UACGUAGGGUGCGAGCGUUAAUCGGAAUUACUGGGCGUAAAGCGUGCGCAGGCGGCCUUGUAAGACAGGUGUGAAAUCCCCGGGCUUAACCUGGGAAUGGCGCUUGUGACUGCAAGGCUUGAGUGCGGCAGAGGGGGGUGGAAUUCCACGUGUAGCAGUGAAAUGCGUAGAGAUGUGGAGGAACACCGAUGGCGAAGGCAGCCCCCUGGGUCGACACUGACGCUCAUGCACGAAAGCGUGGGGAGCAAACAGG